UACGGGGGGGGCGAGCGUUGUUCGGAAUCACUGGGCGUAAAGGGCGCGUAGGCGGCCCGCACAAGUCUGCGGUGAAAACCCCCGGCUUAACCGGGGGCCGGCCGUGGAAACUGUCGGGCUGGAGGCUGGGAGAGGGCAGCGGAAUUCCCGGUGUAGCGGUGAAAUGCGUAGAAGAUCGGGAGGAACACCGGCGGCGAAGGCGGCUGCCUGGACCAGUCCUGACGCUGAGGCGCGAAAGCUAGGGGAGCAAACAGG
rnacentral:rRNA from 1 species